UGACCUCGAUCAGUAG
rnacentral:rRNA from 9 species